rnacentral:rRNA from 1 species
UACAGAGGGUGCGAGCGUUAAUCGGAAUUACUGGGCGUAAAGCGCGUGUAGGCUGCUCCGAAAGUCGGAUGUGAAAGCCCUGGGCUCAACCUAGGAAGUGCACUCGAAAACUUCGGAGCUGGAGUCCUGGAGAGGAAGGCGGAAUUCUCGGUGUAGAGGUGAAAUUCGUAGAUAUCGAGAGGAACACCGGUGGCGAAGGCGGCAUCCUGGACCGGCAUUGACGCUGAGGCGCG